GAUGGUACGUGCCGUUGUUCAGCCUCAUCUUCCUGAUGAUCUGCUGCUACGCCAGGAUAAUCUGCGUGGCCAAUGCGAGGAUGCAGUCAUGGUUGGGAACCUUCAACCCGGAGAGAGAGAGACGAAAGGUUUCCUUGGCCGAGGAGAUCAAACCGUUGAAGUGGUAUCCCUCCGUUUACCUGGUGGUGUCCAUCUUCCCCCUCAUCAACAGGUAACACGC